GUGAGGCUACUAGGAGUUGAAAUACAUAUAACAUUUUGUUUUUUCUCUUUGCAAUACAUAGCAUACAAUGGAGUCUGGAUAAGUUCCAAGAGGGUUCAGGUUUGGAAGCAGCAACAGCAAUCCUACCCAUGGGUUCUCACUCUGCCUCCUUCGAUAAAAGAUUUGCGAUGUCUCCUCUGAAACACCAGAGAUUCGGCGAUUCCAGCAUGAGUUGGCAUUCCCAGUCCUUUGAUUUAGACCUGCCUCGCGGAGGUGUAGAGGAGGAAGAAGAAGAAGAGUCACGGAAAGACAAAGCGGAGAGAGGGCUGGAAAGUGCACAGAAGUGAACAGUGCACUACUUAUCCUGAGAAAACUUGGAGAGUGACUAUGCAUGGAACACCCUUAUUGGAAUUUGUGUACACCAAGUCAAACACAUCGAAGCGGUUCACUGGAUGCCAUAUAACACUCCAUCAGAUGGCCCGUUCAACUCUGCCAUAAAUGUCUGAAAUGUAUUGACUUAAUUUCUUGCUUUCAUCAGUAAGUAGCUUCUCUAUCGCUGAGCCACGA
rnacentral:lncRNA from 1 species